GACGAACGCUGGCGGCGUGCCUAAUACAUGCAAGUUGAGCGCUGAAGGUUGGUACUUGUACCAACUGGAUGAGCAGCGAACGGGUGAGUAACGCGUGGGGAAUCUGCCUUUGAGCGGGGGACAACAUUUGGAAACGAAUGCUAAUACCGCAUAAAAACUUUAAACACAAGUUUUAAGUUUGAAAGAUGCAAUUGCAUCACUCAAAGAUGAUCCCGCGUUGUAUUAGCUAGUUGGUGAGGUAAAGGCUCACCAAGGCGAUGAUACAUAGCCGACCUGAGAGGGUGAUCGGCCAAAUUGGGACUGAGACCAGGCCCAAACUCCCACGGGAGGCAGCAGUAGGGAAUCUUUGGAAAUGGACGAAAGUCUGACCGAGCAACGCCGGGGGAGGGAAGAAGGUUUUCGGAUCGUAAAACUCCGUUGGUAGAGAAGAACGUUGGGGAGAGUGGAACGCUCAUCAAGUGACGGUAACUACCCAGAAAGCGACGGCUAACUACGUG
rnacentral:rRNA from 1 species